CAGGCUAUUCGGCUUAGUCUGCUGUCCACGGCACCUGGCUGUUUUUUCGCUUUUCAUUCUUUUGUUCGAAACGUAGUGUCCGCUUGCUCAGUCUGUCAGAGACUGCAGCUAAAGGGCGUGGAUCGAAUUAGUUUGUCGUUUUGGUGAGUAUAUUUGUUACAGAGAUCCUGAUAACUAUACAUUUCCUGUACGCAAGAGUGCAACUGCUCAUCGAGAAGUAUCAUCUCCAGCUUUUCCUUGAUAUAGCUGGCAUAACGUACGUGUGAUCAUGCUAAGCAAUGGAACGGUGCUCAUUUUUCUGGUGGGCCUGUCGCUAAGUCGAGCCGUAUUUUAUUAUCCCGUGAAAGUUUAUCCACUUGUUGGCGUGCACACACAAGAUCAGAAGUGCUUAUACGGUAGCAGUCCCUUUACCUCCAGAAUCGACUUGCCGGGACAGUGUCAGAGGCUGUCCUGUUAUCCAGAAGAACAUGUUGUGGUGAAGCUUGAAUGUGCUGCGCCUCCGGCGGGAUGCUUUCGCGAUGCCCUUCCUAGAGCGUCUUUUCCACAUUGCUGUAGGACCAACUGCCCACAAAUACGCAAGUUCUCUUUUUCAAAUUUUCAUAUAGUUGAGUUAGGAACCCCCUGUUUGUCAAGUAAAGUGCGAUACAAAUACUUAGCCAUCACUGCAUUUCAUUUUUACUGAGAGAAUAUGGCGCUAAGUAAUCAUAAGUGUGAUAGCCGUGCUGUGCUAAGCCCGAUGCCGUUUCUGAUAGCGCGUCCCCACCAGUGCAUCACUCCUAGUAAGCCGUGCCGACAAGCACUGUAUGUAAUCGCCUAUUUCACUGAAUACACCAGUCUUGAAGUAGUAGUGGAUUUCGCCCGCAUACAGCCAAGCUCCUUUCUCGCGCCACCGAUGACCACGAUGAUGAUUUAUUGGCAUCUCCUUUGAAAUGUAGCGCUGACAAAUAUUCACCUAGCCUGCCUGAUUUACUCAGGUAUGCUGUACGUGCUUUUCAUACUAGCUUUUUUGUAUACAUCUCUUUAACCUUUCUUCUCUUCCCCCAAAUUUUUAUAUCUUGUAACGAUACACAUGCCUGUAACGAAUCUUUAUUUUUUCACCAAUACUUUAAACAUCCUUGCUUAUCUAGACGGCUGACCGGUUGAUGCUUCCGUACAUUUUAAAUCCAAGCGCUUCUGGAAGGCGUACGUUACCUACGAAUCUCGCUGGGUGAAUUCCUUCGCAUUCCAUUGGGAUGUGCUGAGUGGACUCCGCAUCUUUACUGCAGCAUACACGUACCUCAUCUAGUUCCGAAUAUUUAUUGCAGUGUGUUUUGUCCUUAGGCAACCAGCUGAAGCCUCAAAUAGCAAGGCACUUCCCUUCGUGUUAUCGCCGAGAUUUUCGCUUCUAGUUUGUUUCUUCACAUUCUGACAAAUUUCCAGAAUCUUUUUUGUUUCCUUUCUUUGCAUCCAACUUGCUGUGUCCGUUUGUUUUACUUUCUUGUCACUCAUGGUUGCCUAUUUACACUUUAAAUUACCCUGUACUUGGUUGCCGACUUUUUUGACCUGUUCCUUCAUUUUGUGUCCACGCUUUUCAGGUACAUACCACUUGUGCACUUUAGCCGCCUAUUUAUAAUGAUCCAUGUUCCUCAGUCUUUCUUGAAAACUAAGUUUGCUCUGCGUUUCAAUGACUUCAAACGAGGGCCAACCCAAUCUCCCUAGGCACGCUGCGCCAUAUAUUGCCGGCGCAACGAAAAUUUACACUUUGUUUUCAAUAUGCAUU